ACGUCCUUGUACCCGCAGCCGCCACCGUUAUCGUCGGGACCGGCACCCGUCGGCUUGCCAUACCAUGUCGCUUUAGCGUCCAGCCAGUCCUUGCCAUAGGUGGCCGUGAUGUUCUUGCCUGGGGGGACUUUGGGAGGACCGCACCAUGCGCCGCUCACCAAGAACACCAACGCCACAACCAUCGCAACCUGUGCCCGCAUCGACGACCACAUGGUUCUCACAUUCACAGCCAUGUUUUGUCUUGGAUUAGUGAAUGGUACUAUGCUACGAUGAAUGAGCGGGUAGGCCUGAAUUUAUGGUUGUGUGUGCCAACGGUUGGACGAUCGAGCUUGCAACCGUGAAGCGCGCGCAUGCAUGCACCAACGAGGAGGUAGAGUUUGCAUGGUCGAGCGAGCUUUUCUCUUGGCCACCAGUUUACUAAUUGGUUCCGUAAGUCGAAGGUGACCAUGCAUGGUAGCUCUGCAUGCAAAGCUGCUCGUAUCAUCGCGAUACUUAUGCCAUGGUGCUACUUUGGCUAAUGGUGAAGCGAGGACUCUCCUUCUUCUCGCUUUGAAAGGGAAAUAACCUCAACAUUUCCUAUAAUCGAUUUUGGUGUUUGACGUCCAUCACAAAACCAUAUGGACUAAUUAGUUUGCCUAGUGGACAUUUUUCCCACGUGCAUAAAGUUCACAUAAACAUACAAAGAAAAGGAAUUGAGUGAAUUCUACAAAGUUUGGAGCAUACAAGUUCUUGUGCUACUAGUAGCGCACCGGACACUGUCCGGUGUGCAUCGGACACUGUCUGGUACCCUGGCUGAGCACCUCGCGAACUGGUCGCUCUCAGGUUUUCUCAGCGUUAGUCCGCUAAAAUUCAUCGAACUGUCCGAUGCACCACCAGACUAUCCGGUGAGACAACGGAGCAACGAUCAACUUCGCUGACUACAGGGCAGUCUGCAGCGCAGAAGUCAGAAGUCAGUCUGCAAAGUCAGAACACACCAGACUGUUCGGUGUGCCACCAGACUAUCCAGUGCCACAAGAAGAUAGUAGACUUCAACGGUCAAUAGCUCCAAACCCCAAUGGUCAACAGCUCCAAACCCCAACGGUCGACUCACGUGGCACUCACCGGAUAUUAAACAAUGCAGUGUUCCGUGCACCACCGGACUGUCCGGUGUGCCCAUCUACAGCAACGGCUGGAAUAGUGGUUAGGGCUAUAAAUACCCCCGACCACCACCAUUCAAGCCACCCAAGCAUUGCAACUUCCUCAUUCAAUACUAGAGCAAAAGAAUACACUCCAAACACACAAUCAAAGCAUCAACCCCUCUCCAAGCUUCAAAAUCAAGUCAAGUGAUCAAAAGUGCUUAGUGACUUGAGAGAGGGUGAUUUGUGUUUGUUUUGUUGCUCUUGUUGCUUGGUUGCAUUCUUCUUCUCAUUCUAAACUUCUCAAGUGUUUUGUAAAGCAAGCGAGAGACACCUAAUUGUGUGGUGAUCCUUGCGGGGUCUUAGUGACACGUGUGAUUAAGAAGAUGCACUUAACCGGUCUAAGUGACCGAUUGAGAGAGGAAAAGGGUUGGAAUAGACCCAGCCUUUUGGCCUCCUCAAUGGGGAGUAGGUUCCUUGGAACCGAACCUCUGGAAACAAAUCACCGUGUUCGCUUGUGUUGAUCUUUAUCACUCGAUUUGUUUCUUCCCUCUCCUCUCUUCCUAAUAGUUCCCUUGCUCACAUUGAUUUGAGUUUGAUACCAAAGUUAUCCGCAUUGAUUGAGCAACUCAAAGCAAGGAGAACUAUCUCCCGCUCUUCGAAUUUAAUAUUAUUUAUCUCUAACCCUAACCCCGUGUGAAGUGCGUGUUCAAAGUUUAUAAUUUUCAAGUUUCGCCUAUUCACCCUCUCUAGGCGACUUUCAUGCUUCCUAUGGAAGAAUGUCAUUGUUGCCACAUAUUUUUAAGUCAUUAUAUUGGAGCAAAGUGGCGUAACCAUGUCAACCUCUAUUAUUCGUGGAAACGAUCCUUCAGGGAUUGUCGCAAGUUAAUUGGUAUAUCAAAUGUGCGAAUGUAGGAUUUAAACAUAGCGUAAUCUUCAAGACUCCACAUCUAAAUGAACAACUAGAAAGAUGACUUGUCUAGACAAUUAUAGGGAAUUGAACCAUAAACAUUCGAGGUACUCCAAUUAUACAAAAAUGUAAUUAUGAGAUUCGUGUUGGACAAACGAGGUCAAAUUUAACCAAAUUUAUAUUCAGUAUUCUUAAUAUUUAUAUCAAAUAUAUUAUACUAGAACUUUUAAUACAUAGUAAAAUGAACUGCGAGCUUUCCAAAGAACCCCAACAUUCUUCUUUGCUAAAAAAGACUAUUUUGUAUGCGCAUGCAUAGGCAACUAAUUCUUCUAACUAGUUGUUAUAACAUUUUCUUUUAUAUAUACUAGUCAGUUGUCAGUAUGUUACUAUGGUUUUCAUAUUCACAAUAUUUAUAAUAUACAUUCUUUCUAGAACAUGAAUAAAUAUGUGUUUCAGUGGUUAGACGCUAAGCAUAGGAGGAAUGGUUCUAACCCUAGGUUCUACAUUUUUUGGAUUUUCUCAUGGGAGAACUUAACGCAUAAAGGGCGACAUCUUAAUUAAUGUUGGAAAUUGUACAAGUAAUGCAUGCAAACGGUGAAGACAGAAGUUUUAUCUCAUGAGUAGAAAGCUCAUGUUAUGUAGCACUAAUGAACACCUUAGCUUCGACCUUCAAAGAACGACCAACGCACGUUAAGGAUGGCCCUACAUCUAGAAUCAGCAUGUACUAUCAUAUAUUUCAAUUAGUCAUAAAAAAAUAUGUAUUCUAUUAAAAUGUAACCAUGCAUGAUAAAGUUAGGAUUACGUAGGAGAUACAUGGACAACACAACAUUCAUGGAUCCUUUGAUAAAAAAUGAAGGCCUAUCAAAUAUUUCAUUAGGCACUUAUUAUAUAACUUGUCAAUCCAUUUCUUAACUCUUCUCUUUUAAACAACAGCGAAGUCUCACUCUAGCUAUAUAUGGAGAUGAAGAAGAUGGAGAAGGAGGAUGACACCAUCAUUGUUGGCGCCAGCAUCACUGUCGUAAUAGGGUAGUGGUAGCAAAUAGAUAUCACGGUCCAAUGCAUGCAUGUGUAAUGCAUUGCUUGGGAUCCAACCAAUUCUAGUAUAGCUAGCAUAGGCCGGCUUAAAGUAUUGUCAGCACUAAAGUUAAUUAUUUGGCGGUGUAGGCGGUGUUGGCCUUCCAGUUGGCAGGGAUGACAUCGUCGUAGACGGACUUGGUGCCUCCCUCGGUAGUGAGGCGGACGGUGAGGGGUCCCUUAAGCGGUUUGUCGCUGUCCUUCCUCCAGAUGGCGCCCCAGGAGUGCUUCAGGGGCUCGUACGUGUCAGAGCCCUUCUCCUUGACGUCCACUGCCACAAUGUCACCGUCGCCAUCGACGUACUUGACCAGCAGCGCCAGGUAGUUGGGGCCGCACCCCUUUUCAAGGUGGAAGGUGACCUUGGAGUCGUACUUGCACUUAACCCUUCGGAACUGCAUGUCGAUGAUGCCCGCCUUGCGCAGCUUCUCCUCCUCGCCCUUCUUGGCCAUGGCGCCGAACGCCGUGCCUGCUAAAUCGAAGUGGUACGCCGCGAUAGGCUCAUAGUUCAUGUCCGUGAUGUGCACCACCACGGGCUUGCCGGAGCACUCCACAGGCUUAUCGCACUUGAUCUCGAAGCAGGACCCACAACCCAGACCAUCCUUGAAGAUGGGGAUGUUGCCGCAUGCGCCCAUGCUAUUGAAGGGGGGCUUGUUCACGUCCUUGUACCCGCAGCCGCCACCGUUAUCGUCGGGACCGGCACCCGUCGGCUUGCCAUACCAUGUCGCUUUAGCGUCCAGCCAGUCCUUGCCAUAGGUGGCCGUGAUGUUCUUGCCUGGGGGGACUUUGGGAGGACCGCACCAUGCGCCUCUCACCAAGAACACCAACGCCACAACCAUCGCAACCUGUGCCCGCAUCGACGACCACAUGGUUCUCACAUUCACAGCCAUGUUUUGUCUUGGAUUAGUGAAUGGUACUAUGCUACGAUGAAUGAGCG
rnacentral:lncRNA from 1 species